GAGGAACCAGCCUCAGCUGUAUGCAAGGCUGCCACACAGAGAACAAUAGAAGCUCAGGUGGGGUUUUGUGUGCAGAAUCGCACAAUAUGGCAAAGGAAGUGCAAAAGGAAAGAAAGCAGAGAGCCCCUUGCGAGCAGUGGGGGAAAGACACGAAUCCACCGCUAAAAAUACCCAGGCUGUGAUGAGUCAGGAUGGAUUGAGCAAACAAAAAGAGACCAGUCUAAUUUCCUCUAGUCCAGGUUCUAGGCUUUCAGAGAAAAGGAAAGAGGUUCCACUCCACAGUGGCAGAAGUUCAUUAAUCUGACAUUAAAUGAAGGAAAACACAAAUAUUUAGUGGAAUAAAUGAAGGCAAGUGAUAGAGAAACAGAAUAAAGGCGUAAGAACAUCUCAUCAUCAUCAUCAUCCUGUUAGCGACAGUAAGCAGAGCAGCCAUCUUAACCCGCUCAACAGGUAGAUUGUCUUGUUGAUCACAGCGCCCUGUGGUCCCUCUGAGAUACAGUAGAAGGCAGUGCGUCAGUGAGGUUAGCCCCAGAAUAGAAGUAGAAAAGAAGAUCGGCAGCCUGGAGCAGAGAAGGGACGCGGUGUUCCACCCAUUCAGACCAAUCCCGUCUCGCCUGGAAAAACACUUUAAUAAGGUCCGUUCAGGAUCCUGUCGCUUGUGAACGCAGUGCAGGGUCUGACGCCACCCAAGACAAGGUGCAAGGUUUUAGGUCAGGAGAUCAUUUAUUUUCUAAACGUAGUGACAUUUAAAGCUGCAAUGAAAACGCAGACUAUUCUUAAGCAUUGCACUAAGAACAUCACUUUCUAUUAACAGUGACCAGUAUGAUGCUGCUACAGUGCUAAGACCCUGCCUCACAGAAUGCCCUGUGUUACACACACAGUAGCCUCUUAACCAGGGCAUCCGUUACCUGCUAUUAGUUUUAAAUAAUGCUUACGUCUUUCAAUGUAUAAUUCUUCCCUCAAUUGUCUGUGUGACUAUUUGCAGGACAUCUUAAUUUGACUUAAUACAGCAAGUCAUUGGAGACGGUCCUUUUUGUAGGAAGCCGCUACAAUUCAUUCCCGUGUAGCACAGCAAGAAGCUAAUGGUCGUAAUGAAAUAGAAAGACAGGCUGGAAGUUACAUCUUCUCACAAUGAAAUCCUUGAAGACCACAGCGAGUCUGUUUUAGCAGACGCAGAUUGAAUGUCCCCGUGUAGAAACACAAUCCUCUCUUGGAGUGAACCAGCUGUGCAGCUGCUGCCAUGGUUCUGGACACCAGACCUUCAGGAUGUUGUGAUACGUGAACUGUAUGUACAAUUAGUUUCUCCUAUGAACACGGGUGUAGUGACAGGAAGUCUGACGGCUAGAUUUAGAAACCACUUUUAAAAAAUAUAAAUGGAAAACUAUGCUAAAAGGUGUUUUAGCAGAUAAAAUGCAACCGCCUGUUUUAAAUCAAACCAAGGUGAGCUUCUCCAGACAGCUGACGGAGCUAACGCUGCUGUGGAAUAUGAGCUCAGCUCUUUCCAUCCUGCAUUGUUCACUCUGCUGGUGAUUCUUUAUUAUUUUUCUUUUAAACACCAUUGAUCCUGUGGUGAAAAGAACAGCUGCACUGCUACUCAGAGAUUCAGUGUCUUGUUCAAAGACGCUUUGAUGGGAGGCCUGGAGGAGCUGCGGAUCCAAACGCUGACCCUGCAGUUUGUGGACAACCCGCUUCACCAAGUGACCAGCAGCUUCCAAACAAAUGUUUGGCCUAGCUGGGAUCUGAACCCAUAACCUCUACUGCCCAACCUGCUGACCCCAGUGACCCCCACAACACACACUUACUUACUUACAGUAAGAAGACUUCACCAGUGCCACUUGUUCAAGGUCUUAAAGGUACCUUUACUAGCGACAAAUGAUGUCUUAGGUUUUUAAAUGUGAUGUUUAGGUUUAGGCAGGUUUUAGAGUAGGUGCUUCAUUUUCAUUACUAGUUUAAUUUAAAGUGGUCUCAUCUUAAUUGUGAAUUAUGAGGGGAAAAAAACAAAACUCACUGCACACACAAUAUGCAAAACAACCAUGUAUUAAAGGUCUGUGGUGGUUGAUACCGAGUGACAGCGGCACGAUGGUUCACGCGCAACGCAUUUUCCCCAUGGAAUCCUCUUACACUCCCAUCCACUGUAAACAUGCACGUUUGCUUUACAGCUUUUCCCCAGUGCAAAGAGCCCAACAGAUUUUGGGAAACAGUGCCAUUUGUCAUGUCUUGUCUAAAGUGAAAACAGUGAGUCCAAGGCCAAACCAAAGAGUGGGCCUCAAGUACCUUUUAAUGUUGCAGCCUGGAGCAGCCUGGCAUUGGUGUGGGGGCAUCUCAGAUUCAGACUGAAUGUUCAUUGUAGGAUCUUUUCACCUGAUUGCCUGCACUAUUGCACAUUGUAACAUGAUUGAAUCAGUAAUGUUGCUCUUUCCAACCUUUUAAUGGCGUAGACGCUGAAUGUCGUGUGGGUAAAUAGCGCUCAUCAUCCUCACUAUGGCAUUUGACACCUGGCUGACUUACAGCAGCAUGACUGAUUGACAGGUGGCCGUCUAAUCCGUCCCGCCUUCUAAUGUGAGUGCAUUCAACCACGAGUUGGAAAAAUCCCAUCUACCUCAGCUUAGACUAACUUGCUCACUCCAUAAGGACUGAGAGUUUGUGCCAACACUAUACAUAUAAUGCACACAAAGGAAUCUUUGCCCCUCUCUGACCCCUGCCCACCAUGUCAUUUCCUCCUCUGCAGCAUUUUUGCAAGGUUGAUUUCAGCUGCAUCCUUAAAAAUGAAUGAAUGUAGUUAUGUUGGUACAGAGUCAGUAGACAUCUGACUUGGAUAUAUUGGUAACACAUUUCAUUCAUACUAUAUGUUUUUGUGUGCAGCUGCUUCAUCCUUAUUUUAAACCUUUCAAAGAUUCUGUUGGUUGCUGUUGUGCUGACUGUGUUCACAUUGUUUGCCCAGUUUUCAAAUUAAUGAGAGCUGGUUUCUGGGCAGCUGGAAAAGUUUGGCCUCUCUCCACUUUGAAUCCUACAUACAGUAAAAGAAAAUGAUCAGGAUCAGUUGUAAAAUACAAACAAAGUUUACUGUAAGUUGUAGUUCAGAUGCCCGUGCCACCUUAAUACCAUAAGAAUUUACAAACUGUAAAAAAAAAAUACCAGCUCAAAUAUUUCCAAAAAGUUAGUAAGUAGUUUUUCUUUGCUUUUAGGACCUUAAUAUUGUUGUUGUUCUCUUAAGGAAGCACACAAUCACCACUGGAUUUCCUCCACGCUGACACGUAGCAUCGCGGGAGCGCUGGGAGACCCACGGCCGGGUGAGGAGCCUGAACGCGUCACAGAGCAGCCGACACCGUUUAACCGCCGCGCCGGCAGCUGUUUAAGAGUCACAUUCAGCACAGAGCAGUCAUCGCUCGUAGGAGAUGAACCUUUAUGAAGUUACGCAUGAAGUGGGAGACGUGUGUGGGUGCCAUUUUUUACUCCCUCCUUUUUUUCCUGACAUAAUUAAAAGUACUCGAAACUU